GGGGGUAUAGCUCAGUGGUAGAGUGUUUGACAGCAGAUCAAGUGGUCUUUGGUUCAACUCCAAGUUCCCCCU
rfam:Pelodiscus sinensis unplaced genomic scaffold scaffold3077, whole genome shotgun sequence.